rnacentral:rRNA from 1 species
AGAGUUUGAUCAUGGCUCAGGACGAACGCUGGCGGCGUGCUUAACACAUGCAAGUCGAACGGAAAGGCCCUUCGGGGUACUCGAGUGGCGAACGGGUGAGUAACACGUGGGUAAUCUGCCCUGCACUUCGGGAUAAGCCUGGGAAACUGGGUCUAAUACCGAAUAGGACCUCGGGACGCAUGUCCCUUGGUGGAAAGCUU